AUUGAACGCCGGCGGAAUGCUUUACACAUGCAAGUCGAACGGUAGAGGGGGCAACCCCUCGAGAGUGGCGAACGGGUGAGUAAUAUAUCGGAACGUGCCCAGUCGUGGGGGAUAACGUAGCGAAAGUUACGCUAAUACCGCAUACGAUCUAAGGAUGAAAGCGGGGGAUCGCAAGACCUCGCGCGAUUGGAGCGGCCGAUAUCAGAUUAGGUAGUUGGUGGGGUAAAGGCUCACCAAGCCAACGAUCUGUAGCUGGUCUGAGAGGACGACCAGCCACACUGGAACUGAGACACGGUCCAGACUCCUACGGGAGGCAGCAGUGGGGAAUUUUGGACAAUGGACGCAAGUCUGAUCCAGCCAUUCCGCGUGCAGGAUGAAGGCCCUCGGGUUGUAAACUGCUUUUGUACGGAACGAAAAGGUUUCCAUUAAUACUGGGAGCUCAUGACGGUACCGUAAGAAUAAGCACCGGCUAACUACGUGCCAGCAGCCGCAGUAA
rnacentral:rRNA from 1 species